rnacentral:lncRNA from 1 species
AUGGCUUUAGAAGGAUUUACUAAACUGUUAUUUUCCUGGAUAUCUACGCUCUUGACGGUUUACACUUCAAAUGAGCAGACCUACAGGUGGAUAGAUCGGCCAGCCUCUCCUUUCAGUCGGCCACAGCCUCUCCUUUCAGUCGGCCAGCCUCUCCUUUCAGUCGGCCAGCCUCUCCUUUCAGUCGGCCAGCCUCUGCUUUCAGUCGGGCAGCCUCUGCUUUCAGUCGGCCACAGCCUCUCCUUUCAGUCAGCCACAGCCUCUCCUUUCAGUCGGCCAGCCUCUCCCCUCAGUCGGCCAGCCUCUCCUUUCAGUCGGGCAGCCUCUCUUUCAGUCGGCACAGCCCUCCUUUCAGUCGGCCACAGCCUCCUUUCAGUCGGCCAGCCUCUCCUUUCAGUCGGGCAGCCUCUCCUUUCAGUCGGCCAGCCUCUGCUUUCAGUCGGGCAGCCUCUCCUUUCAGUCGGCCACAGCCUCUCCUUUCAGUCGGGCAGCCUCUCCUUCAGUCGGCCACAGCCUCUCCUUUCAGUCGGCCAGUCUCUCCUUUCAGUCGGGCAGCCUCUCUUUUCAGUCGGCCAGUCUCCUCAUUUCAGUCGGCCAGCCUCUCCUUCAGUCGGGCAGCCUCUCCUUUCAGUCGGCCAGCCUCUCCUUUCAGUCGGGCAGCCUCUCCUUCAGUCGGGCAGCCCUUUCAAGGUCUUCCUGUCCGUUUCUUUCUGCAGUCCUGCCUCUCCUUUCAGUCGGCCAGCCUCUCCUUUCAGUCGGCCAGCCUCUCCUUUCAGUCGGGCAGCCCUUUCAAGGAGGUCCUGUCCGUUUCUUUCUGCAGUCCUGCCUGUGCCCCUGGACGGUCUGCGGCUCUUCGACGCUGGAAUCCUACAGAAAAAAACAUGUACACAACCCAGUUAUUAGGAUUGUUCACUACAUGGUUUUGGUUUUAUGUAUAAACCAUAAUGAUUUUCAUGCAGAAGAGUUGAGUAUAAC